GACGAACGCUGGCGGCGUGCUUAACACAUGCAAGUCGAACGGAAAGGCCCCUUUGGGGGUACUCGAGUGGCGAUCGGGUGAGUAACACGUGAGUAACCUGCCCUUGACUUCGGGAUAACUUCAGGAAACUGGGGCUAAUACCGGAUAGGAAUCCUUGCUGCAUGGUGGGGGUUGGAAAGCUUCGGCGGUUUUGGAUGGACUCGCGGCUUAUCAGCUUGUUGGUGGGGUAGUGGCUUACCAAGGCUUUGACGGGUAGCCGGCCUGAGAGGGCGACCGGCCACAUUGGGACUGAGAUACGGCCCAGACUCCUACGGGAGGCAGCAGGGGGGAAUAUUGCACAAUGGGCGGAAGCCUGAUGCAGCAACGCCGCGUGCGGGAUGACGGCCUUCGGGUUGUAAACCGCUUUCAGCAGGGGCGAAGCUUGUGGUGACGGUACCUGCAGAAGAAGCACCGGCUAACUACGUG
rnacentral:rRNA from 1 species